GUGACCUGGUGAUGGACAGCUCUCUCUGCUCCAGUUUCACCGCCGUGGAUCCGGCUGGAAAGGAAGGAAAAGAGAGAAAAUCCCUAAGAAGCAUGAAUUGGAAGAAAAUGGAGAGAAUCCUCGGUUCUCUUCCCUGGCCGGGAGAAAGGGUGGAAAGACACUUACCGGCGCACAGGAUGAGCACGAGCCCCGAGCACUGCCGGUGGAGACAUGCUGGAGUCUAUCAUCCUUCUCACCACCCUGCUCCACGGUAAGUCGGCUGCUUUCAUCCCGGGUUAGCACCCUCUGGAGCUGCUUCUGUCUUCCUCCUCCUCUUCUUCCACCUUCUCACCCUCCUCCUCUCCUUACUAUAACUGUUUGCUUUCUCCCCUCAUCGCAGCCGGCCAGACGGCAGUCACCUUGGACCAACCAGUGAUCUCCAUCACCAAAAAGGUUGGGGUGCUUGCAAUGAUUCCCUGCAGGUUUUCUGACAAAAGGAUCACGUACAUCCACUGGUACGUCCAGCAUCUUGGGAGGGCUCCCCAGCGCCUGCUCUACUAUCACCUGGCCAAGUCUGAAGUCAGGUUGGAUGCAGGAUUCAGGUCAGACAAAUUCUUCGCUAGCAAGAAUAAAGAUGGAAGCUGCAACCUGUUGAUACAGAACCUGCGUGAAAGCGAUGCUGGCACCUAUUACUGUGCCAGCUGGGACGCCACGAUGAUUCAUGUCUCUCCACCCCUCAUACAAAAAAAUUCUGUCUGCAGGCAUCGGAAGCAAGGCCUGCCUCCCACAACUCCGGCACUGGCUCUCACCCUUGAUUCAGGCUCCUGGGCACACUAAGGAAGGCCCGGAUUUGGUUUCUGUAGAAAACAGGUCCAAACUUCAGCUGUUUCUGCAGAGAAUAAACGCAGUGGUCCCACCCACCUUAGCCAGAGCACAAUUCCCAUCGCCCCCUCUCAGACACUGGUGGCUUCCCAUUCCUUCUCUGCCCGAACAGACGUCACCCUCGUGUCCAAAGGGAGGAGUCUGUGGAAGGACACUCUAUACCUUAUGUCUACUACAUCGCUUUCAUUGGUCCCUGGGGUAAUCUAAAACCCACCUCCAGCCCCUUCCAUCUGUCCUUGGUGACCACUCUAGGGGUCAAAUUUGUGAACUCCUGUCAGAUAUUCGGGAAAGGAUCCUCCCCUUCGAACCCUGAAGGUGACUGAGCCUGACUUGUGAACUGCUGCCAGAUGUUGAGGAAAGGAUUCUCCCCUUCAAACCCUGAAGGUGACUGAGCCUGACUUGUGAACUGCUUUCAUAUGUUGAGGAAAGGAUUCUCCCCUUCGAAUCCUGAAGGUGACUGAGCCUGUCUACUGGGCCAUCUUUCUACAGGACCUGUUCCAGGGACUUCUGGACCAUGGGUGGAAAGGGAAGCCAAUCUCUCCUCAGACCACCCCCUGGGCCAUCCUAAAAUCAUUUCCUUCUCAUCCUCUAUCUCCGUAGAAGCAGCAGUUUGAGAACCAUCCCAGCAGGGGCAGGGAGGGGAGCACAUGGAGACAGAGAGGCUGAAAGGAGCCGUGCGAUGAGUGGAUUCAGGUUCUUCCUCUGCCGCCUGCGUUUCCAUCCCUCAGCCCUGAGAUGCCGCCUUCCGCCCUGGUCAGCCGCAGUCGGUUUCAGGAGGGGUGGGAUCCCGGCAGCCUCAACUGUUCGUCCAGGGCAUAUCCCACUCCUGUGGGCCUCCUCGGUCCCCAGUGAUUAGAAGUCAGCCUCCUUGUGAAAAUGACCCUCCAUGAAGACGGAUGAAGACUUCGGGCAGUUCCUGGAAGUCUCCCGCUG